CCUUUUAUUAUUUUUCCAACCUGUGCAUCAUAUUUGGGACUGCUGUGCUUUUGUUGAUAGUUCGGCUUUCCCUUUUUUACUUAUUAUAAUCACAUUGGAAUGUAUUGAAAGAAAACAUAUAAAAAUAUACAACUUUCAGCAAUGGAUCUCUUGGCUCUCGCAUCGAUGAAGAACGCAGCGAAAUGCGAUAAGUAAUGUGAAUUGCAGAAUUCAGUGAAUCAUCGAAUCUUUGAACGCACCUUGCGCUCCUUGGUAUUCCGAGGAGCAUGCCUGUUUGAGUGUCAUUAAAUUCUCAAACUACAACUUUGUUGUGGCUUGGAUAGUUGGGUGUUGCCGGCUUUUUAAUAAAGUGUUGGGCUCAUCUUAAAUGUAUAAGUGGGAUUUUUUAGAAACUUGUUAGGUGUUGUAAAUUAUCAAUUCAUCUAUGUUUCUGAAAUAUACCUCGAAAGAGAAAGGAGUUGUUGAUGAUUUUGACCUCAAAUCAGGUAGGACUACCCGCUGAACUUAAGCAUAUCAAUA
rnacentral:rRNA from 1 species